CGUGCGGACGCGGUGUCCGCACGCCCGCCGCGGUACCUGGUACGGCCGUAGGCGG
rfam:Kitasatospora setae KM-6054 DNA, complete genome.